GAUGAACGCUGACAGAAUGCUUAACACAUGCAAGUCAACUUGAACUUCGGUUUGGGUGGCGGACGGGUGAGUAACGCGUAAAGAACUUGCCUCACAGCUAGGGACAACAUUUGGAAACGAAUGCUAAUACCUGAUAUUAUGAUUUUAGGGCAUCCUAGAAUUAUGAAAGCUAUAUGCGCUGUGAGAGAGCUUUGCGUCCCAUUAGCUAGUUGGAGAGGUAACGGCUCACCAAGGCGAUGAUGGGUAGCCGGCCUGAGGGGGUGAACGGCCACAAGGGGAAUUGGACACCGCCCUUAACUCCACCGGAGGGCGGCGUGGGGAAAAAUGGGAAAUGGACCAAGAGUCUGAUCCAGCAAUUCUGUGUGCACGAUGAAGUUUUUCGGAAUGUAAAGUGCUUUCAGUUGGGAAGAAAAAAAUGACGGUACCAACAGAAGAAGUGACGGCUAAAUACGUG
rnacentral:rRNA from 1 species